rfam:Schistosoma haematobium scaffold4_15, whole genome shotgun sequence.
AUCCAGCUGAUAAGUCGCAAAUAGGACGAAAUGUGCGUCCAGCUGGAU